rnacentral:rRNA from 1 species
GAUGAACGCUGGCGGCGUGCCUAAUACAUGCAAGUCGAGCGAACGGACGAGAAGCUUGCUUCCCUGAUGUUAGCGGCGGACGGGUGAGUAACACGUGGAUAACCUACCUAUAAGACUGGGAUAACUUCGGGAAACCGGAGCUAAUACCGGAUAAUAUUUUGAACCGCAUGGUUCAAAAGUGAAAGACGGUCUUGCUGUCACUUAUAGAUGGAUCCGCGCUGCAUUAGCUAGUUGGUAAGGUAACGGCUUACCAAGGCAACGAUGCAUAGCCGACCUGAGAGGGUGAUCGGCCACACUGGAACUGAGACACGGUCCAGACUCCUACGGGAGGCAGCAGUAGGGAAUCUUCCGCAAUGGGCGAAAGCCUGACGGAGCAACGCCGCGUGAGUGAUGAAGGUCUUCGGAUCGUAAAACUCUGUUAUUAGGGAAGAACAUAUGUGUAAGUAACUGUACACAUCUUGACGGUACCUAAUCAGAAAGCCACGGCUAACUACGUG